rnacentral:rRNA from 1 species
AUCGGCAGGCGCGAAGCGUCGGCCGACCCUCGGGAGGCUUGCACAGGUGCUGCAUGGCUGUCGUCAGCUCGUGUCGUGAGAUGUUCGGUUAAGUCCGCUAACGAGCGCAACCCUCACUGUGUGUUAUAUGUGUCACACGGGACCGCCGGUCUUAAGCCGGAGGAAGGUGGGGAUGACGUCAAGUCAGCAUGGCCUUUAUAUCCUGGGCUACACACACGCUACAAUGGCCAACACAAUAGGUUGCUAAGCCGCGAGGUGGAGCCAAUCCAUAAAGUUGGUCUCAGUUCAGAUUGUAGGCUGCAACCCGCCUGCAUGAAGAUGGAGUUGCUAGUAACCGCAGGUCAGCUAUACUGCGGUGAAUACGUUCCCGGGGCUU